rnacentral:rRNA from 4 species
GACAUCAGGAGGUUAGUGCAAUGGCAUAAGCCAGCUUGACUGCGAGCGUGACGGCGCGAGCAGGUGCGAAAGCAGGUCAUAGUGAUCCGGUGGUUCUGAAUGGAAGGGCCAUCGCUCAACGGAUAAAAGGUACUCCGGGGAUAACAGGCUGAUACCGCCCAAGAGUUCAUAUCGACGGCGGUGUUUGGCACCUCGAUGUCGGCUCAUCACAUCCUGGGGCUGAAGUAGGUCCCAAGGGUAUGGCUGUUCGCCAUUUAAAGUGGUACGCGAGCUGGGUUUAGAACGUCGUGAGACAGUUCGGUCCCUAUCUGCCGUGGGCGCUGGAGAACUGAGGGGGGCUGCUCCUAGUACGAGAGGACCGGAGUGGACGCAUCACUGGUGUUCGGGUUGUCAUGCCAAUGGCACUGCCCGGUAGCUAAAUGCGGAAGAGAUAAGUGCUGAAAGCAUCUAAGCACGAAACUUGCCCCGAGAUGAGUUCUCCCUGAGACUUAGAGUCUCCUGAAGGAACGUUGAAGACGACGACGUUGAUAGGCCGGGUGUGUAAGCGCAGCGAUGCGUUGAGCUAACCGGUACUAAUGAACCGUGAGGCUUAACCUUACAACGCCGAAG